GAUGAACGCUGGCGGCGUGCCUAAUACAUGCAAGUCGAGCGAACAGAUGAGGAGCUUGCUCCUCUGACGUUAGCGGCGGACGGGUGAGUAACACGUGGAUAACCUACCUAUAAGACUGGGAUAACUUCGGGAAACCGGAGCUAAUACCGGAUAAUAUAUUGAACCGCAUGGUUCAAUAGUGAAAGACGGUUUUGCUGUCACUUAUAGAUGGAUCCGCGCCGCAUUAGCUAGUUGGUAAGGUAACGGCUUACCAAGGCAACGAUGCGUAGCCGACCUGAGAGGGUGAUCGGCCACACUGGAACUGAGACACGGUCCAGACUCCUACGUGAGGCAGCAGUAGGGAAUCUUCCGCAAUGGGCGAAAGCCUGACGGAGCAACGCCGCGUGAGUGAUGAAGGUCUUCGGAUCGUAAAACUCUGUUAUUAGGGAAGAACAAAUGUGUAAGUAACUAUGCACGUCUUGACGGUACCUGAUCAGAAAGCCACGGCUAACUACGUG
rnacentral:rRNA from 1 species